ACAGCAGUAGCCGCGGUAAUACGUAGGGCGCAAGCGUUAAUCGGAAUUACUGGGCGUAAAGCGUGCGCAGGCGGUUCGCUAAGACAGAUGUGAAAUCCCCGGGCUUAACCUGGGAGCUGCAUUUGUGACUGGCGGGCUAGAGUAUGGCAGGGGGGGGUAGAAUUCCACGUGUAGCAGUGAAAUGCGUAGAGAUGUGGAGGAAUACCGAUGGCGAAGGCAGCCCCCUGGGCCAAUACUGACGCUCAUGCACGAAAGCGUGGGGAGCAAACAGGAUUAGAGACCCCUGUAGUCCCUGUCUCUUAUAC
rnacentral:rRNA from 1 species